rnacentral:rRNA from 1 species
AGGGUUUGAUUCUGGCUCAGGAUGAACGCUGGCGGCGUGCCUAACACAUGCAAGUCGAACGGAGUUAAACGCUGAACGGAAGUCAGCUUGCUGAAAGAAGUUCUUGUUUAACUUAGUGGCGGACGGGUGAGUAAUGUGUGAGCAACCUGCCUUACAGAGGGGGAUAACACUCUGAAAAGAGUGCUAAUACCGCAUGAAGCGACGUUAUCGCAUGAUGAUGUUGUUAAAGGAGCAAUCCGCUGGAAGAUGGGCUCACAUCCGAUUAGAUAGUUGGUGAGGUAACGGCUCACCAAGUCGACGAUCGGUAGCCGGACUGAGAGGUUGAACGGCCACAUUGGAACUGAGAUACGGUCCAG